UUCCAUUAGAAAACAUCACUGAACAGUCUCUUUUGCUUCCACUAUCUUCCUUUAAUUCUUUUACAGGCUAGCUUUUUAUUAUUCUCUUUGGUGUUUUUAAUAAUUGUUUUUGGUCUUGGAUUCCUAUUUUUGUAUGCAAGUAUCGCUUCAAGAUUGUAAAAACAACGUAUUAUAUAGCAUGGAUCCAGUUUCAUCAUCACAUGGCCUUUCUCUUCCACCUCCAUUUCGUGUACUAGAUUUCAAUCUUCAUAACCAUCCCUAGCUUCAACAGUAAGAAAAUCACUACCAUCAUCACAACUCCGCAGAUGAGUAAAGUGGAAGCAAUGUUAAGAAAUGAGAUUGGGAUGAUAUCAACAGCAGUAGCAGCAGCAUGUGCAUGUGAGCGGACUGAACGCUGAGGAUAUAUUUUCCACAUGUGCAUGGAUUUUCCGACGGCCAUGGUUUUAACCCAUUAAAAGAUCACCAAAGGAGUUACCAUGAAUUUAUUUUCAAUUUAGAUUCUUUUUAUUACAUGGAAAAUAAAUAAAAUAGUUGGAAAAAAAUUUACCACUCCAUCUUUUUGCUUCCCAGAUUUUCCCCUUCUAUCGUCCUCCUUGUCAUUUCAAUGGCCCUCAAAACCAACUCAAUCAGGCUCUCUUUCCAUCUGUCUUCCAGAUCCCAACGAUUCCACGGUGUAUACAGGCACAGAUCCUUCUAGUGGUGAGAAAAUGAAUGAAAUAGGAUUUAAGGUAACAGAGGAGGGGAGAAGGAAGAGAAGAAAGUUGCAGAGACGUGGACCUGGUUCUUUAAUGGGGAGUUAAUUACUAAGCCCACGCAUUGUUAUGUGUUUUCUUUUAGAUUUUGAAAAUAUAACUCUUGUCAUAAUUCUCAUAAUAAAUCUCAUUCAUUAAAUUGGGUAAAGCCAAUUGGAAAAUUAAAA